UUUAGGAGAUACUUUCCUGUUGCAAACUUAACAAGAACCAGACAAGUUCUACUCAUUGAACCUCAGAGACCGGAGAAAUUUGUCAUAAGAACUUUCAACUCGACGUCCCUGUAUAUUCUAAGUGUUUGUGAAGUGUGUGGAAGCUAUCAGUGUCCCUAUUGCCCGUUCUACAGCGGGGGUGGAACCUUUUUAUCUGUAUCAAACAUUCUUAUCUUCAUUCUCACCAUUUUCAUCAAAUAUUCGUCAUAAACUUUUUUUUUGGAAUUUACCGUUUUCACCAAAUAUUGAGGAUUUGGGUUGAAAUUGUUCUCUUCGGUUUAUAAAGCACUGAUCUCUUAAAAUUCCCAGGAAAUGGGAAUUUUUAAUUUUAAGUAUUUUUCGCCCAAUUUAAGUGCAAAAGUUAUUGCAGUAUUGCUCAUCUUUUUAAUUUUCUUGAAAUAUAUUUUAAUUUCUUUUAA